rnacentral:rRNA from 1 species
UACGGAGGGGGCUAGCGUUGUUCGGAAUUAUUGGGCGUAAAGCGCGUGUAGGCGGCUUUGCAAGUCGGGUGUGAAAGCCCUCAGCUUAACUGAGGAAGUGCGCCCGAAACUGCAGAGCUUGAGUACCGGAGAGGGUGGCGGAAUUCCCCAAGUAGAGGUGAAAUUCGUAGAUAUGGGGAGGAACACCGGUGGCGAAGGCGGCCACCUGGACGGAUACUGACGCUGAGACGCGAAAGCGUGGGUAGCAAACAGG